UACGAAGGGGGCUAGCGUUGUUCGGAAUCACUGGGCGUAAAGGGCGCGUAGGCGGCUUUGUAAGUCGGGGGUGAAAGCCUGUGGCUCAACCACAGAAUUGCCUUCGAUACUGCAUGGCUUGAGACCGGAAGAGGUAAGUGGAACUGCGAGUGUAGAGGUGAAAUUCGUAGAUAUUCGCAAGAACACCAGUGGCGAAGGCGGCUUACUGGUCCGGCUCUGACGCUGAGGCGCGAAAGCGUGGGGAGCAAACAGG
rnacentral:rRNA from 1 species